UUAACCAUUGAUUUAAUUGUCUUGCUCUUUAUUUUAUACUAGAUUUUAACCCGCGGUAUACCGCGGAGACAAUUUAUUUUUUAAAUUAGUAUAUAUAAAAGUUUGCAAAUUAAAUCUAUUUAUUUUUAUUUUAUAGUUUACAAUUGUUAUUAAGUAACGUCCUGCCAAACCCGUCUCGCCAAAUCCAUCCCAUAAAAAAAACCGCGGUACACCGCUAAUUUAAAUAUAUAAUUAAAAUAAAUAUUUUACGGGAUUGCAAUUGUAUUUUGGUUUGUCAAACAAAUAUUUGUUUUAAAUAGUUGCCAAAAUCUAGUUCAAAUUUUGGAGAAAAAAGAUUUAUUGGAUAGAUAAAGAAUGUAUUUAGGUGUGUUUUGCUCAUUUUAAGGGAUUGCAAUUAUAUUUUUGUUUGUCAAACAUUUUUUGUUUUAAAUAGUUGCUGAAUACUGUGUGCGUGACAUAUGAGAUUGGAAUAUUUUUAGUUUGUUAAUUAAUUUAUUGCUGGAAAAAAAUCAAUAAUUAAAAGGUAAUGGCAGCCAUUGUAAAUAAAUCUCAACUCCAGGAUUUAUUUCACAAAAUGACUGCAAAAAUGUAUAUAUAGAUUUAUAAUUUGAUUAGAGAUAAAAUAGUUAUUU
rnacentral:sRNA from 1 species